CUCCUAGUAAACCCUCUAUUCUGCUUUAGCACAUUAUUGGUAGAAAGACACAAGCCAUGGCUACAAGGAAAAAACCAAGAAAGAUUUCGAAGAUUUAGAAACUUGAGGCUGGAGUUUCUAAUAACCAAUUUUUGGACUCCCAGUUCAAGACUUGCUUCUUCCGAAUGAGCUUCUGAAAAGGUUUCCUUUAUAGACCCUGCAUCAGUGGUCAUGGAACAGGUGGCAGUGUGCUGCUCUGCAGUGCUGGAAGACACAUGGCUGACCGCUGGUUUGGAUCCCAAGCAGACCUGAAAACACUCCAGUUUGAAAGGCCCAAGAUCCUAUUUGGAGAGUUGAACAAAGUGGAGUGGUGUGACAAGACUCUGUCAGAGGUGUCUCUCCGUCUCUCUCUAUGUAUGCACUUUUUUUUUUG